rfam:Mycobacterium sp. 1423905.2 contig_339, whole genome shotgun sequence.
CCUAGUAGCUCAGGGGAGAGAACACCCGCCUGCUAAUCGGGAGGCCGCGGGUUCGAAUCGCGCCUAGG